AAAAACUCUCAAUUCAUCUAAAACCCCUCAGAGCCUCCCCUAUAACAUUCUUGAUUCAUCAUCAUCACCAUAAGACUGGUCUAUCUUGAAGCUUUAUGAUGGGUGAUCCAUCGUUACAAGAGUGAUUGAUGCUGCAGCUGUAUUGCACCGAGGAACUGCUC